GAUGAACGCUGGCGGCGUGCCUAAUACAUGCAAGUCGAGCGAACAGACGAGGAGCUUGCUCCUCUGACGUUAGCGGCGGACGGGUGAGUAACACGUGGAUAACCUACCUAUAAGACUGGGAUAACUUCGGGAAACCGGAGCUAAUACCGGAUAAUAUAUUGAACCGCAUGGUUCAAUAGUGAAAGACGGUUUUACUGUCACUUAUAGAUGGAUCCGCGCCGCAUUAGCUAGUUGGUAAGGUAACGGCUUACCAAGGCAACGAUGCGUAGCCGACCUGAGAGGGUGAUCGGCCACACUGGAACUGAGACACGGUCCAGACUCCUACGGGAGGCAGCAGCAGGGAAUCUUCCGCAAUGGGCGAAAGCCUGACGGAGCAACGCCGCGUGAGUGAUGAAGGUCUUCGGAUCGUAAAACUCUGUUAUUAGGGAAGAACAAAUGUGUAAGUAACUAUGCACGUCUUGACGGUACCUAAUCAGAAAGCCACGGCUAACUACGUG
rnacentral:rRNA from 1 species